GGUCAAGCGGUUAAGGCACACGGUGGAUGCCUUGGCAUCAAGGGCCGAAGAAGGGCGUGGCAAGACUGCGAAAAGCCUCGGUUAGCUGUCUAGCAAGCUUAACCGGGGAUUCCCGAAUGGGGCAACCCACUCAGGUAAAACCUGGGUACCCCCAGCUGAACACAUAGGCUGGGAGGAGGUAAGCGGGGGAAGUGAAACAUCUCAGUACCCCGAGGAAAGGAAAUUAUUCC
rnacentral:rRNA from 1 species